UACGUAGGGGGCGAGCGUUGCCCGGAUUUAUUGGGCGUAAAGGGUGCGUAGGCGGCUUUGUAAGUCAGUGGUGAAAUAUGGCAGCUCAACUGUCAGGGUGCCAUUGAUACUGCGGAGCUUGAGUACAGAUGAGGUAGGCGGAAUUGACGGUGUAGCGGUGAAAUGCGUAGAUAUCGUCAAGAACACCGAUAGCGAAGGCAGCUUACUGGGCUGUAACUGACGCUGAGGCACGAAAGUGUGGGGAUCAAACAGG
rnacentral:rRNA from 1 species